rnacentral:misc_RNA from 1 species
CAGAGUUCAUGCCCUUACGGGUAGAUCUCCCACCCUUGAAAUAUCUACCUUUGUUGCUUUGGCAGGCCGCGGCCUCCGCUACCGGCUUCGGCUGGUGAGUGCCUGCCAGAGGACCUAAAACUCUUGUUUAAUCAUAUUGUCUGAGUACUAUAUAAUAGUUA